AACAUUGUGAAAUAAAUAUUCGAUUUUUUUUUUUGUAAAAAAAAUACUCAUUGUUCAGCCAGAGAACAUGGCAAGUUGAGUGCAUUUGAAUGAAACAAAAAAUACGGAUUAAAUAUAAAAUCACAAUAUAGACUUUAAAAAGGAGAUUUGUUGUUGGCUCUGCUGUCAGAAGUAUCAGUAUGAAGAGAAGCCUGUAACACAGAGAGACGGUGCACCAAUUUGCAAACAAAUGAUUUAACGGAGGACGUUGGUGGUCUGCUGCAACAACUGCAGGCGGUCCAAUGUUGUCACUCCAACUUUUCCAAUGGCAAAUAAUACAAUAUUUAGAGAGGAUUUAAGAUUGUCACAUUAUGCACUGAGUAACUUCCGAAAUACAAAUUCUAUCACUAAAUCACAUUGUCCAACAAUAAAAACAGUAUGAAAACA